GUCCACGCUGUAAACGAUGAGUGCUAACUCUGGGGCGCAAGUUCUGGGGUAAAGCUAACGCGUUAAGCACUCCGCCUGGGUAGUACGAUCGCAAGAUUAAAACUCAAAGGAAUUGACGGGGGCCCGUACAAGCGGUGGAGCAUGUGGUUUAAUUCGAUGAUAACCGGAGAACCUUACCAGCUCUUGACAUACACGUUUUGGAUACACGAAAGUGGUCCUUCAUUUAGUUGGGCGUGAACAGGUGUUGCAUGGCUGUCGU
rnacentral:rRNA from 1 species